AUACGAAGGGGGCUAGCGUUGUCCGGAAUUACUGGGCGUAAAGGGUGCGUAGGCGGAUAUUUAAGUCAGAUGUGAAAUUCCCGGGCUCAACCUGGGAAGUGCAUUUGAAACUGGGUAUCUAGAGUGCAGGAGAGGGAAGCGGAAUUCCUAGUGUAGCGGUGAAAUGCGUAGAUAUUAGGAAGAACACCAGUGGCGAAGGCGGCUUCCUGGACUGUAACUGACGCUGAGGCACGAAAGCGUGGGGAGC
rnacentral:rRNA from 1 species